GACGAACGCUGGCGGCGUGCUUAACACAUGCAAGUCGAACGGAAAGGCCCUGCUUUUGUGGGGUGCUCGAGUGGCGAACGGGUGAGUAACACGUGAGUAACCUGCCCUUGACUUUGGGAUAACUUCAGGAAACUGGGGCUAAUACCGGAUAGGAGCUCCUGCUGCAUGGUGGGGGUUGGAAAGUUUCGGCGGUUGGGGAUGGACUCGCGGCUUAUCAGCUUGUUGGUGGGGUAGUGGCUUACCAAGGCUUUGACGGGUAGCCGGCCUGAGAGGGUGACCGGCCACAUUGGGACUGAGAUACGGCCCAGACUCCUACGGGAGGCAGCAGUGGGGAAUAUUGCACAAUGGGCGGAAGCCUGAUGCAGCAACGCCGCGUGCGGGAUAACGGCCUUCGGGUUGUAAACCGCUUUCGCCUGUGACGAAGCGUGAGUGACGGUAAUGGGUAAAGAAGCACCGGCUAACCACGUG
rnacentral:rRNA from 1 species